rnacentral:tRNA from 1 species
GUGGGAGUAGCUCAGUGGUAGAGCACAUGCUUAGCAUGGAUGAGGUCCUGGGUUCGAUCCCGGUCCCUCCA